rnacentral:rRNA from 1 species
UACAGAGGGUGCAAGCGUUUAAUCGGAUUUACUGGGCGUAAAGCGUGAGUAGGUGGCUCGCUAAGUCGGUUGUGAAAUCCCUGGGCUCAACCUGGGAAUUGCAGUCGAUACUGGCAAGCUAGAGUUCGGUAGAGGGUGGCGGAAUUCCCGGUGUAGCGGUGAAAUGCGUAGAUAUCGGGAGGAACAUCGAUGGCGAAGGCAACCACCUGGGCCUGAACUGACACUGAGACACGAAAGCGUGGGUAGCAAACAGG